CUUAAUGGUCCGUCCACACAGAGGUCUCUCACCUGUCACAGAGGUCUCUCGCCCAACGCCUUUCAGAGGUCUCUCGCCCCACACCUGUCAAACAGGUCUCUCGCCCAACGCCUGUCAGAGAGGUCUCUGGCCCCACACCUGUCAGAGAGGUCUCUGGCCCCACACCUGUCAGAGAGGUCUCUGGCCCCACACCUGUCAGAGAGGUCUCUGGCCCCACACCUGUCAGAGAGGUCUCUGGCCCCACACCUGUCAGAGAGGUCUCUCUUCCCACACCUGUCAGAGAGGUCUCUGGCCCCACACCUGUCAGAGAGGUCUCUCGCUCCAAACGGUCCCUUUCCUCUCCCAGGAGGAAGAGGAAGAGGAAGAGGAAGAGGGGGGAGAGGCGUUAUCUGAUGACAAUCAACCGGUGCGUCUAGCUGAAGUCAUCUAACAGGACAGAUGACGUAUGAUUAUUUUAUUUGUUGUUGUUUUUUUCUGCUCGUCCCUUGAAUGGUAUGGCAUCAUAUCAAUAGAUGUGUGUUGAGCUGGUUUCCACUGGCACUGACGGCAAAAUUUGCGGGUAAUUACUGUUAAUUAUAAUACAGCAGUCCCGCUCACAAUGAAACCAACCCGGGUUCAAGUGUUGUAGCUGUAGAACUGGUCGGCCGCUAGAGAGACAGAAGCUAUGCCUAGCCUAGUUUAACCGGGUGUGGUAUCCAAGAAAAAAAGAGGGUGCCAUUGUGGUUUCCUCUGGCCAGACACACACACACACACACACACACACACACACACACACACACACACACACACACACACACACACACACACACACACACACACACACACACACACACAGGGAGUGAUGUCACGCAGCUCCGUGGCAGUAACCGCUCCACUGGCAGGGGAAACACACAGUAAAGUCAGAGAACGCAGUCCUCCCCAUUGUUUACUGCCAAUAAAAGAGAAGCUGUGUCCUAUGGAAUAAUGCCCUCCUAUCCCUCCCCAUCUCUCUCUCUCUCUCACUCUCUCUUCCCGUCUGUCUGUCCCUCUCACACACUCAGACAUUCGAUGCAUUCCACUGUGGCAUUUUCUGAACUAGCCAUUAGCUCCGAUGACUUCAAUCGCCUCCCUAGUCGCAUUCCCAGCAGGCUAUACUUGGACUUUAUUAGCCUAUUAGCUUGCUAGCUCCUAGUGUGUGUGUGUGUGUGUGUGUGUGUGUGUGUGUGUGUGUGUGUGUGUGUGUGUGUGUGUGUGUGUGUGUGUGUGUGUGUGUGUGUGUGUGUGUGUGUGUGUGUGUGUGUGUGUGUGUGUGUGUGUGUGUGUGUGUCAAUGUGGACUCGCACACAGGAAGCUUGGACGGAGAUACGUUGUGG